AUAUAUAUAUAUCAAACUUCUCUUGUUGAUUGGUUUGGAUGUGGGGGUUUGCUGGCCUUUUUAAAAAGUUCAGCUCCUCUGAAAUGCAUUAGCAGAACAAACCUUGUUCAUUGGUGUGAUAACUAUCUACGCUAUUGAAUGUGAGGGGCAGUUCAGCUUUCUAACAGUCCUCGGACAAUUCAAUCAUUA
rnacentral:misc_RNA from 1 species